rnacentral:rRNA from 1 species
UACGUAGGGGGCAAGCGUUGUCCGGAUUUAUUGGGCGUAAAGAGCGUGUAGGCGGCUAGGUAGGUCCGUUGUGAAAACUCGAGGCUCAACCUCGAGACGUCGAUGGAAACCAUCUAGCUAGAGUCCGGAAGAGGAGAGUGGAAUUCCCGGUGUAGCGGUGAAAUGCGCAGAUAUCGGGAGGAACACCAGUAGCGAAGGCGGCUCGCUGGGCCAUUCCUGACGCUGAGACGCGAAAGCUAGGGGAGCGAACAGG